ACCAAUCAUCCAUCUAUCAUGAGGCCUAGAAAGCAGGAAAAAAGUGUUCACUGCAGAUUGUAGAACCAGUCCCUUUUUUAACCCUAUUAUAGUUUUAAACAUGACUCUGACUUAAUCUAACUGGUUCUACAUGCAAAGAAAAGCAGGUCCAUUACAAUACAGACUCACUAUUCAUGUGUGUCACUGGACCUGUUAUUAGUUACCCCAUGGAGAGUAAAAUAAUUGUGGUCUUAAAAUAUGAAAAAGAAAACACCACAGACAAUAUUUUAUGUGGCAUCUUGUGCUUUUUCAUAGAGCAAUUCAUAUUUUCUCUCUAGUUUUUAUAUUAUUAAGACUUACCUUUCCCUCUUACUCUCUUUGUAGAUUUCAGUUAACAUAUUUUAGGGCUGAAAUAAUGGAAAAAGUAGGGAAGCUGUACAUACAUAUCCUGGAAUAAUCAUUCUCUUUCAUUUACCAGUCUUCUUUUCUCUCAUUUUGUAAUUCCAGGUAUUUGAGAAGUACUUCAAUUCAUGGAAAGCAGCUACUUCCUUCACUUACUAGCUGGACACAGUUUGAGGAUUACUGAGUAAAGGUAACUGGAAUCUGGAAUGCUUGGGGACCACCACUGGACUAAGUCAAAUGAAGAAGUUAGAGAAUCAAAUCAAGUUUAACCUACUCUCCUAAAGGCAAGGAAGCCCAAAGUAAAAGGAUAGCAAUAAGAAAAGAAAUAAGUUGAUAAAAUGCUGAAACUCCCUCUGCUUGUGAGAUUAAAAAAAAAAAAAAAUGAUUGCAAUUGGUUAACCAUAAGGCCAACUGGAGUUUGUGCAGAACAAGCUUGCUGAUGUCACAGCUGGAAUUCCUAUCACAUGUUUCAUACUAAAUCCUCUCAAAUUGCAUGAACCCAUGAGUUAGCAUGACGAGAUAACGCACUUGCCCAAGGAUUUUCCAGACUUCCCCGUUUUUUUAUACCAAAUCACCCACUAAUCCCAGAAUCCAUCCCCUAAAUCUUUUCUAAUAAAAAUACUACCAUGAAGCCAGCACAAGGAGACAGAUUUGAGCUUGACUCCUGUCUCUUUGUGAGUUAACUUG